AGAAUAUGAUUUUUUAUAUGGGAAACACAAAAUAAAGAAUGUUAAUGCAGCAUAUUUUGAAUAUUUCAAAAUCUAGUGGUUGAAGUUGAAGUUUAACUUCAGUAUUAGUACAUGAUAUCAAAUAUAUCCUCAUUCUAGUAACUAGUUACACAUGAAGGGGAUGUGCACCUCAUUACUGUAGAGCAUCAUUUCGGGGUAGACUUAGUUCCCUAAUUAUGAUCCAGUAAAUGGUAGGCAGGAUCCUGGACAAACC
rnacentral:misc_RNA from 1 species